rnacentral:rRNA from 1 species
AGUCGAGGGGCACCGGGAGUGCUUGCACUCGCCGGCGACCGGCGCACGGCCUGCGGAACGCGUAUGGAAUCUACCUCUUUCUGGGGAAUAGCCCAUGGAAACGUGGAUUAAUACCCCAUAGUAUUCAGAAAUCGCAUGAUUUUUGAAUUAAAGCUUUGGCGGAAAGAGAUGACCAUGCGUAUCAUUAGCUAGUAGGUGAGGUAACGGCUCACCUAAGCUACGAUGAUUAGGGGUCCUGAGAGGGAGAUCCCCCACACUGGUACUGAGACACGGACCAGACUCCUACGGGAGGCAGCAGUGAGGAAUAUUGGACAAUGGUCAAAAGACUGAUCCAGCCAUGCCGCGUGCAGGAUGAAUGCCCUAUGGGUUGUAAACUGCUUUUAUACGGGAAGAACACCACCCACGUGUGGGUGACUGACGGUACUGUAUGAAUAAGCACCGGCUAACUCCGUGCCAGCAGCCGCGGUAAUACGGAGGGUGCAAGCGUUAUCCGGAAUCAUUGGGUUUAAAGGGUCCGCAGGCGGACAAUUAAGUCAGAGGUGAAAUCCCAUCGCUUAACGAUGGAACUGCCUUUGAUACUGGUUGACUUGAGUCAUAUGGAAGUAGAUAGAAUGUGUAGUGUAGCGGUGAAAUGCAUAGAUAUUACACAGAAUACCGAUUGCGAAGGCAGUCUACUACGUAUGUACUGACGCUCAUGGACGAAAGCGUGGGGAGCGAACAGGAUUACAUACCCUGGUAGUCCACGCCGUACACGAUGGACACUAGUUGUUGGGAGUAAUCUCAGUGACUAAACGAAAGUGAUAAUUGUCCCACCUGGGGAGUACGA